rnacentral:rRNA from 1 species
AGAUUGAACGCUGGCGGAAUGCUUUACACAUGCAAGUCGAACGGCAGCACGGGACUCAGGCAACUGAGCCCUGGUGGCGAGUGGCGAACGGGUGAGUAACAUAUCGGAACGUACCCAGUCGUGGGGGAUAACUCUCCGAAAGGAGAGCUAAUACCGCAUACGUCCUGAGGGAGAAAGCGGGGGACCUAAGGGUAACUGAGGGCCUCGCGCGAUUGGAGCGGCCGAUAUCGGAUUAGCUAGUGGUGAGGUAAAGGCUCACCAAGGCGACGAUCCGUAGCGGGUCUGAGAGGACGACCGCCACACUGGGACUGAGACACGGCCCAGACUCUACGGAGGCAGCAGUGGGAAUUUGGACAAUGGGGAAACCCUGGAUCCAGCCAUCCGCGUGCGCGAUGAAGGCCUGGUUGAAGCAUUUGGCAGGAGAACGG